rnacentral:ncRNA from 1 species
CGUUCUCAGGGCGGGGUGAAAUUCCCCACCGGCGGUAAGCAGCUUUAGCUGUAAGCCCGCGAGCGCUUGGAUGGCUCUGCCAUCCAAGGUCAGCAGAUCUGGUGCAAAUCCAGAGCCGACGGUCACAGUCCGGAUGAAAGAGAA